UACGGGGGGGCAAGCGUUGUUCGGAAUUACUGGGCGUAAAGGGCUCGUAGGUGGCCAACUAAGUCAUACGUGAAAUCCCUCGGCUUAACCGGGAACUGCGUCUGAUACUGGAUGGCUUGAGGUUGGGAGAGGGAUGCGGAAUUCCAGGUGUAGCGGUGAAAUGCGUAGAUAUCUGGAGGAACACCGGUGGCGAAGGCGGCAUCCUGGACCAAUUCUGACACUGAGGAGCGAAAGCCAGGGAGCAAACGGG
rnacentral:rRNA from 1 species